CAUUAAAGGUUUCGGGUACCCAGUGCCCAAACUUCAACCCUAUGUUUUAACUAUACAUGUUUCUUUGCCGGUUUCGGCCGGCAGAAGUUUUCUCAAACUCCACUAUAAAUGUGUCUUCUGAAUCAAAACUAAAUAAAUUAAAACUUUCAACAACGGAUCUCUUGGUUCUGGCAUCGAUGAAGAACGCAGCGAAAUGCGAUAAGUAAUGUGAAUUGCAGAAUUCAGUGAAUCAUCGAAUCUUUGAACGCAUAUUGCGCCCUUUGGCAUUCCGAAGGGCAUACCUGUUCGAGCGUCAUUACACCCCUCAAAGAUAACUCUUUGGCGUUGGGCAAUGCCUAGAGGCAUGCCUCAAAAUUAGCGAUGGUGAUAUUCAACCACAGGCGCACACACGUCGUCUAGCUGGCGGGAUGUUGUCAGUCAAUUGAUGAAUUUCUAAAUGUUG
rnacentral:rRNA from 1 species